rnacentral:rRNA from 1 species
GACGAACGCUGGCGGCGUGCUUAACGCAUGCAAGUCGAACGGAAAGGCCUGCUUUCCCUUGUGGAUUGCGGGUACUCGAGUGGCGAACGGGUGAGUAACACGUGAGUGAUCUGCCCCCAACUUGGGUAUAAGCCUGGGAAACUGGGUCUAAUUCCCGAUAGGACUGCAGGGUGGUGCCUGUGGUGGAACACGAUUUUCUAGUGGUUGGGGAUGAGCUCGCGGCCUAUCAGCUUGUUGGUGGGGUAAUGGCCUACCAAGGCGGCGACGGGUAGCCGGCCUGGGAGGGUGGACGGGCACAUUGGGACUGAGAUACGGCCCAGACUCCUACGGGAGGCAGCAGUGGGGAAUAUUGCACAAUGGGCGGAAGCCUGAGGCAGCGACGCCGCGUGGGGGAUGACGGCCUUCGGGUUGUAAACUCCUUUCGACCGCGAGGAAGCCACCUGGUUGGAAGGGUGGUGACGGUAGUGGUAGAAGAAGCACCGGCUAACUACGUG